CUCUGGGCAGUAGACCCUAGGAAGCACACAUGGAUGCAUUUGUCAAAACUGUCAAUGAAUCACACCCUCCGCAGCAAAGUAUGCCAUUCAGAUCAGAAAUUUACAUAAAUCUUGGACAAAUAUCUCACUCAAAAGUCAAUUUUCUCAAAGUCCACACGUGACAUCUGAUCAUCUUAUCUGCACGUUAAUACAGUUAGAAUGUCUCUUUUAUUUCCAUAUAAAAUAUUUAAAAUUAUUAAGAGAUUUCCGGUAGUAUUCAGUUUGUCAAGCAUUUCAGUGGAUCAAAGUUUUACACUGGUCAAGACGACUGCCUCCUUAAAACAGUAAGUUUCCCAAAACUGAUGGAAUUACUUUUAAACACAUUCUGAAGAACAAAGUGAGAUAAAUCUGGGCAUGGGGGGUUGUAUUGAAGGACCUACAUGCAGAACAGGAGUGCUCCGAGAGCAAAAUAUCCCCCACUGGCAAAUGCUGCUUUGGUACAAGUGCUUGCCACAUUUUGAUAACAGUUCAAGGAAUUGCACCAAGUUUCCCAAAAUUCAUCCUAAAAAUGUGACAGAUGAUUUCAGAAUGCAGGCACCAACUCAUGCAACUGGCAGUGUCUAGAUCUGUUAUUCAAGGUGGGCCAUAAUUCAGGUAAAAUAAGCCCAACUGGAACAAUAUGAAAAUAUGCAUAUUACGAACCUAUAACAAGGACUUGUACCAAGUUUCUCUAAAAUUCUU